rnacentral:antisense_RNA from 1 species
CUUGCAGCGCUGUUCGGACAGGGUGAGGCAAAUCAGGCCGCGCGCGUGCUUGGCCAUGAAAUUGAUGGCUUCGGGCGUGACGAACUCAGCCGCCAUGA